rnacentral:rRNA from 1 species
ACGGGUGAGUAACACGUGGGCAACCUGCCCUUGAGACUGGGAUAACUUCGGGAAACCGGAACUAAUACCGGAUAAUAUAAGGAACCUCCUGGUUCCUUGUUGAAAGAUGGUUUCGGCUAUCACUUAAGGAUGGGCCCGCGGCGCAUUAGCUAGUUGGUGAGGUAACGGCUCACCAAGGCGACGAUGCGUAGCCGACCUGAGAGGGUGAUCGGCCACACUGGGACUGAGACACGGCCCAGACUCCUACGGGAGGCAGCAGUAGGGAAUCUUCCACAAUGGACGAAAGUCUGAUGGAGCAACGCCGCGUGAGUGAUGAAGGCCUUCAGGUCGUAAAGCUCUGUUGUUAGGGAAGAACAAGUGCGAGAGUAACUGCUCGCACCUUGACGGUACCUAACCAGAAAGCCACGGCUAACUACGUGCCAGCAGCCGCGGUAAUACGUAGGUGGCAAGCGUUAUCCGGAAUUAUUGGGCGUAAAGCGCGCGCAGGUGGUUUCUUAAGUCUGAUGUGAAAGCCCACGGCUCAACCGUGGAGGGUCAUUGGAAACUGGGGAACUUGAGUGCAGAAGAGGAAAGUGGAAUUCC